UCGAGCGAGAAAGUGUAGCAAUACAUGAGUAAAGCGGCGCACGGGUGAGUAACACGUGGAUAACCUGCCUCAAAGUGGGGAAUAACACCGGGAAACCGGUGCUAAUACCGCAUAUUCUGAUGGAGUCUGUGGACUUUGUCAGGAAAGGAGCAAUUCGCUAUGAGAGGGGUCCGCGGCUGAUUAGCUAGUUGGUGAGGUAAUGGCUCACCAAGGCAACGAUCAGUAGCCGGUCUGAGAGGACGGUCGGCCACACUGGAACUGAGACACGGUCCAGACUCCUACGGGAGGCAGCAGUGGGGAAUUUUUCGCAAUGGGGGCAACCCUGACGAAGCAAUGCCGCGUGGAUGAUGAAGUAUUUCGGUACGUAAAAUCCUUUCGACGGGGACGAAACCGCAAGGUUGACGGUACCCGUAGAAGAAGCCCCGGCUAACUCCGUGCCAGCAGCCGCGGUAAUACGGGGGGGGCAAGCGUUGUUCGGAAUUACUGGGCGUAAAGGGUGCGUAGGCGGCUUUCUAAGUUGGAUGUGAAAACUCUGGGCUCAACCCAGAGACUGCAUCCAAAACUGGAGAGCUUGGGUUCUGGAGGGGAAAGCGGAAUUCCUGGUGUAGCGGUGAAAUGCGUAGAUAUCAGGAGGAACACCGGUGGCGAAGGCGGCUUUCUGGACAGAUACCGACGCUGAGGCACGAAAGCUAGGGGAGCAAACAGGAUUAGAUACCCUGGUAGUCCUAGCCCUAAACGAUGGAUACUUGCUGUGAGGGGGAUUGAAACCCUUUGUGGCGAAGCUAACGCAUUAAGUAUCCCGCCUGGGGAGUACGGUCGCAAGGCUG
rnacentral:rRNA from 1 species